GACAGUAAACAUUAUACCUGCUAAACAUUAUCACGUUAACUGUCAUUGUGAGCAUGUUAGCAUGCUGAAAUUAGCAUUCAGCUCAAAGCAUCGGUGUGCCUAAGUACAGCCUCACAAAGCUGCUGUAGACUUGUUCCUUUGGUAAGUGGCCAUGGUAUAAGCACAAUACCAGACACUGAUGUGUCACCCAUAUAGAAUAAAUGAACUUGGUGGAGGAAAUAACACUCUACAUUCUUUGGCCUCCACCUAUGUGUAGUCCAUUCUUAUCCUAGAAUACCUGCAUUACCACCUCUGCUAGAGGUAUCAUAGCAGGCACACAAAUGUUUUCACAAUUUCUCUAGUGAUUAAUUACCACUGUGGCAUUAAAUUGACAUCUUAAGUGCAUCCAUAGCACCACAUACGCACUCUUUACACUCUCUAAAUCUCCCUUUAAAUGCCCAUGUAGAGGGUGUGACAAAGGACAAUUUGUCUGAGCCAGACAGGAAUAUCUUUUUGGAAAAACAUCUCAGUUUGUAUAGAACUAUUUUACCUCCCCGUUGCCUUGACCAGCUUUUAUCUUGACUUUGACCACCUUCUUCUUCUGGUAUGCAAUUUUCUAGUUGUGAGGAUGACUGGGCCUAUUUUAUGAAGAAAGAUAAAUGAUAAGAAAAUGUGUAUUUCCUGAUGAAAAAAGGAAAUAAAUGUUCAUUAAACAGACAGACACUUUUUAAAAUUAAUAUUUUAGGAAGUGGUAUUGAGUGGUCAUAAUCCUCAACAUAUUGCAGGGAGCAUAACAAAAUAGGAGGACAACUAUCUUUUUACUAUAUUGUUUGUAACCAAAGAAAGUCACCACUCAUCUAAACUGAUGCCCUAUUAUUUGCUGCCAGGAGUGAAGUGAAGAUAUGGAAGGUUGGAAAGCUAUGGGAGUAAUUAUUUUUACAGUUUGUUUCCUCAUGAUCACAGAUCACUUUUUGUGAUCUAUUUCUAAAAAUAUUUAUAAAAAUUGUUUUAUCGUGAUCACCAGUGCCCACCUUAACAUGUCAGUUGAUAUUGUCCUUUGGUAGCUCAUAUUCUGGUAUUCCCAAAAAAGUUGCAAUUACUCACUUCACAACAAACUUAUUGCCGCACAGUGAAUCUGGGGCUUUUAGUUGCCCAUCAGGGUCUGGGGCCCUGGGGCAGUUGACUGCUUUGCCUGGUUGGUAAUCCAGCUUUAAGGCUACUGCAGCUGCAGUAAAAGUCUGUGCAAUAUCCUUAUAAUAUUUGAAAAUGUUCCAUAGUGUGCCCUUGCUAGUGAAAAAAAUUAAAAUAAUAAACUUUAUUUAUAAAUAAAUAAAUAAAAACAGGCAAAUUAUCCUAGCAAUUAAAUGAAUAACAAGCAAAAGAGACAGCAAAUAGCAAGAACAGGUAUGCUAAGAACAAAAGAAUAUAUGAAAGAUAUAAAUAAAACAAAGGAAGGCAUAAGAACAAUGAAAUAUGUAAAACAUAAGAAUAAAACAGAGGAAGAGUGACAGUUUAGUUAAAGGCAAUGUUGUAUAAGCUUUCAAUGUUCACAGAGCUUGCAUCUCUUAUAGCCUUGGGUAGGGAAUUCCAAAGUUUUGGUGUAUUGUCAAAGAAGACUGAGCUGCCGAUUUUCUUAUUUCUGUGAUAAUCUGUAUUUAAAAAAACGGCAGCAGAGGAUCUAAGAGGCCGUGAAGGAAUAUUACUACUACUAUAUUAGUAGGCUGGUCCCAAACAAUUACAGCCUUGUUGUGAGCAGCAGAACGAAAAUAGUUCCUACAUGAAACUGCUCACAACAAAUCUGUAGAUUAUCUUGAGUAACCAGGUCAUGAUUUCUGGAAAGAGACAUUGCUGUUGAGUUUUUAAAAUGUAUUUUUUGGCGCUUUGAGCACCACAAGCCGAGUGCCAUCUAGCUCAGACAUCUCUACGUAUGUAUUUUUGAUUUUGGGUUCAAAUGUCUCUUUAAGGGUGAGACCAGACACCCUGUGAAGAAAACUCAUUUAGGUUGCUUGUAGCCGCGAUCUCAUUCUCUUGGUCAUUACUGAUCAUUUAGGGUUGGAAAGCUGGUCAAUUAAGAGCUUUGCCUUGACCAUGACAGUCCGGUACAGUGUCCACAUUACAGAAUGAUUGAUCCAGCAGUCAUUUGUCUGUGAAUCUCACAUUCCAUCUUAAACUCACUUGUAAAGACUCCAAUAUACUUGUUGGCAGCUAAUCACUCCCAACUCAGAGUUAGAAAUCCACCAUUUUCCAGUAGAAUACCAUGACUUCAGGCUUGGAGGUGCUAAUCAUAGCUGAAUUACCACAAAUAAAUUAUGCCCAUUCUUGUCUAAAGAUUUUGUGAUCACGAAAAACCAAAGCUUGUUAAUUUUGAGACCAUAAUAAUUUUCUUGUGAUUUCAAGAAAACAACAACAAAAAACCAACAACAAUCACCAACAAUCAUCUUAACCCAUGUGCUGUACUGCCUUCUGCAUGAAGAUGAUGCCUAGGAAGAUAAAGACUUUAAAAGCCUUUAUCCAGUGAUGAAGAAAUGUACAUAUGCAGCCCCUCUCCUCCUUCAAACACACACACACACACACACUACCAGUUAGUAAAGUAAACUCUAAUCAGCUGGGUAAUCUUUGAAACAUACUCUGCACAAUUAGCUGGAUAUUUUCCUCACAAUCAAAUUCACCCACUGUUAAGUUUCACAUAGCCCUAACCUUAACUAUAGCAUAGCAAGUAGGGGUAUCUUUCAACAGAUUAUGUUAAAUAUACUCAUAAACUUAUUUUUGUUGUCUUGUCAUAAUGAUAUGUAAUACAUGUAAAUACUGUACUUUGUGCUGGAAAGUCACUGGAGCUUGUGUGAUACCAGAAUGAAGACUUAAUGUUAACACUUGAAUGGCCAAAAAGUUAGUUGCCAGUCGUAAUUUUUUCUCUGAGAACCUGUCCCAUCACUGAUCACCUCACUUUAUAAAAAAAUUAAUUUUCUAUUUUCAAUGUUCACUUAAUGUACCAUGCUGCCACUUAACUUACAAUUUCAGCAUAUUCUGCUUCCUCGAGUCCUGAUAUUAUCAGCUUCACAGCAUGCAAAAGAAAUUAGAGAUCUGCUGUUUGUCCACUAAUCUGGAAAAUUGUUCAGAUCGUAAGAUUUGUAAUUUAUUAGGGGGGAAGCAUUUUUUCAAGGCUUUCUUUCUCAUGUACAAAUCAAUAAUUCAUUGUAAAACUUGGUGCUUUCAUUCAUCUAAAGGCCUCAGUAUGCUUCAAAUGAAGUAGGUUGUACAAUGUUUUCUCCAACAGUAUCUAACACAAAGUGUUUAUACUUGUUACAAAUUGCCACACUUGAAGGCGGGGUGAAAAGCCUGCCAUCAUAGCAUCCUCUUGGAAUCAUCCCACUGCCUCGCCGAUCUCUUUUCAAGAGUUCUGUGUAGUCUGGAUUUGAUGAAUCGUACAAAUGGAGAUAACGUUUUAUAUCCCCCACAAUCCCACCAUCCGAAAGGGGGUUCCAGACAACAGUAUGAUAUAGAGUGAACAACAACACAGAAAGUAAUGUAACUAACGUUAGUUAGGUUGUAGGUUAGCUUAGCUAGGAUGUGGGUUAGCUAACUGUCCCUACAGUAGCUGCUGUGAAGCUAACAGCCAGAGAGGAGGAGACGGUUUCCCAGAGCCAGCACAGCAGCUCCAGACAGUGAUGCUCACAACUCUCCUGCUGCUAUAGCUAACAUCACAACAACAGCACAUCUUGGGAAACUAGAAAGUCAGCUGAAUGUCCGUGGGCAAGUCAUUUAAUGUUACCUGACACACACAUCAUGGCUGGAAUGGCUGAAAUAGUGCUGUGUGGAGUUUUUUUUACGGUGCACACAGUGAACGGACAACUAGCGUACCGUGAGGAGAUAUUAGCUGAAUUUGACAAAAAGACGUUUAUUGGAUUAGAAUUGCAUACCCCACCUUUAAGGUUCAGUUUUUACUUGGAAUCCUUAGAGUUUGUUGUAUACCAACCAACUUCUUUUUACUGCUCGAGUUGCUUGGGUCAUGGCAACCUCAAUAAACUGGCCUGGUCAAUUUUAAUCAAUUUGGGCUGCCAUUUUAAGUUUUGUCAAAAACACAUUAUAGGCUGCUUCUCCUACAAACCUGAUUGGAUCUUAACUACAAGCAAAGCAAAGGAUCUUUGGGAUGCCUUAUUAUGCCUUAUCAACUGAAUUUUAAUAUUCCCAACUGUUUAGCUACUGUUUGUGCCAUUAGUCUAAAUGUUUGGCCAAACUCUUCAACAAGACAAGUUAAUUUUAAACAAUUAAUUCCUAUUUUGAAUUUUGUCAAAAUAAGUUUACCCAGUAAUCAUCACAUGUGAAAGAAAGCAUCUUUUAUUAUGGCUUAUCAAGAGUAUCUUGACACUCUAAACAAUUUGUCAUUGAUGGUCAGAUUAAUCUGAUAGAAGCUGUAGGUUUCAUUUCUUGUUUUUUUGCAUUGUUAAUUAUCCAAAUUGUUCAUUGCAUAUACAGUACAUGUUCUCAGUGUAGGCUACAUGCUUUCAAAUGUUCAUAAUUCUCUCAAACACCAGUGCCAAAGGUGAAGAGACUCCUACAAACUUCUGAGGUCUAUAACUUCACAAAGAGAAAAACGUUUCUGCCACUGAGUUCUGCAGAUUGCAGACUGUCUUCACCAGAAAAACAUCCAUAUAGGUAUUUUGUGCAAGCAGCUUAUUACGACCCAUGUUUACGUUUAUUGUAGUAUUCUAGUGGUUGUGGUAAUUAUGACAGGAGCAAACCAGGAAGUCAGGUGACGUAGCUUAAAGAGCUAGAAAGUCUGCUUAUGGAGAUGAUGGAUUUUUAAUCAGGAGACCAUGGUCCUGUGUGAAGCCAAUAGUCAACACUGACUUAUUUAAGGUUUUAUGUUACAUAACGUUACGUUUGUGACUUAUGUAACUUAACUUACGUUAGUUGUGUAACUUACGUAGCGUACUUAUUUGAACCCAAACCAUGAUCUUUUCCUAACCAAACUGACAUUGUUAACCACGUGUUUAAUGUCACGUGACUUAUGUCGUAAUGUGACGUAAUGUAUGCUUGCAGCCCGUCCUCACCUUACAAUCCGUCCUCAACUGCCACCGGUAGGGGGCGCUAAUUUAGGAAAUGCUCCUGUGGGUCGUAUUAGAGGGUAAGAACAAAUGACCUAUGUGGUUGUCUGGUUUGGAGGACUUGUUGGCAGAUUGCGAUCAAUCCAACAAAUAGGGUUUGAUGAAUUUCAGUAAUCACCAUUUUAAAUUUGAUCAAAAAUACUUCUACAUACUGUAUUAAAAAAAAGAAAUCAUUCAACCAAAGGCUUAUCAGUUUCCUCCAGUAUUGUAGUGACUGAAUUAUUUGUACUCUGCCUGAUCUGAUUUGAACUUGACUUGAACCUGUAUUAUGGAGUUUGGAUUUGGACACAUCGCCCACCAGAGAUCUUGGAUUAACCUUUUUCAGUACCACUUUCACAUAAGGGAUGCUUGUUAAUAAAUCACUUAUUAAUAUAGAUCAGUAAAAAAUUCAUUAAUAAGAACUUUUUUUUUUUGGUUUUGCAUUACAGCUAAACACAUAGCCCAAGAGGUCUUGGAUUAACCAUUUUUAAAACCAUUUAAAAAAUGUCAUACUUUGUAAAAGGUUUAUAAAUUGUAAAUAAUCACUUUAUUAAUGUUAAUAAAUAAUUUAUUUAUGCCAUAAAGGUCAGUAAUGAGGACAACAUUUUGGAUUGGAGAUUGUGAAAAACUAAUUUGGUGUGUAGUAUGUCAUCUUCCAGCACAAUAUAUUUUCUAUUUUGAAAUAGCUCUUUAGCACACUGACCACCUUAUGGGAAGGGACUGCAGAGUAUUAAAUUCAACAACUUGUUAAACUUUACAACUGCAAAUUUGAUGGCUUAUUAGAAAGUGAGAUGACUGGAACACACUUCUCUGGGCUGCUUGAAAGAAACCCUUGGUUGUUGUUUCUUUUAUAUAGCAGAUUUUGGAUACAUUAACGUGUUUUACCUUUCUGCCAUAAAGGUGGUGGCGUUCUUCUCUGCUUAGAUCUGCAGAGAUGUUUAAGAAUGGUAGGGAGAAAGGUCGACAAGUCCAGACUAAAAAGCAAAAUAUUUCAAUCAAUCAUUUCUAAUUGCUUUUAAAAACAACCCAUUGUGUUUUCUGAUCUUGUGCCCAUACUGGCAGGAUGACAUCAGUUGUCAGUGCCUUCUGAAACUGUUACAAAAAAAAUUCAUAUGGCGUUUCCUGAUCUGCCACCUCUGUGGUGAAGGUUUGGUUAGGUUUAGGGACAAAAAUGACUUAGUGUGAAAAACAACUACUUUGUCAUGGUUAGGGAACCUGUGUCAAGAGAAUUUUGGUUUAAAAAAACCAAGCAUUGACUGUUAGUAGGAAAUGGGAAACAAACAGCAGUCACUUGUGUCAUAGUCAGACACUUCAUCCUCUACCACAACCUCCAACGAUAGAGGUUUUGAAACCUAUCCAAUAACAUUAUAAUUACGGCUGCCUUUGCUCUCACGGUCAAUUCAUAAUUCACAUGAUUAUUAGAAAUCCGUGCCAGGUAAACGUAUUUUGAAUAAACAACUUAUUCUGAUGUUUUUAAUGGGAAGACAGUCUCACUGAUGAAUUAAAGAGGCCACUUACACCUUGAGGAGGAUAUUUAACAAGUCUGUUGUGCAAAUGCUUUAUUGCAUUAGUAACUUAUGAAAUUUGGCACCACUGUCUAAUAAAGUACCAUUUAUAAAGGGUUUAUGAUACCAUAUAGCUAGCAAUGGGCACGUAUCACCAGCAUGUACAAGUCAGGGAUACUAACACAGAGGAUGUAUUUUAUGAUGAGCAAAACAUGAAUGAAAGGGUAGAUGAAAGAUUGGUUAUAGAGCCCAGUAGCGCCCCCAAAUCCCAUUAAUCAGGGAAAGUAGCUUCAGCCACAAAGUCUCAGAUGUGUUUCCACGCUGGAUGCAGAAAAUAUAGUGCACAAAUAUACAAUAUGUUAAGUAGAUACUCUGGAUUUUAUGCAUAGUUUUUCUUCACUGGAUGUGGAUGCAUUGUGUGCUUGAGGGAAGGUCAAAGAAGUGCCAAAUUUCAUGACUGCUAAACUUCUAUGUUUGUCAAUUAACUUAUGGAAAUUUAUUAAAAAGCAGCACAUUUUUAGAGUUUUUAUUCGCAACACAAGUUUUAGUUGAAAAUGUAUCUAUGGGUUAAAUGUUUGCCUUUUUUCCUUAUACAGUAGCGCCAUAGCAUGCAAACAAAAGGUGAUAUCAUCAGUGGUUGAAUGUGACACUGAAUUGAAUUAUCGAAAGAUUUUUUGGUUACUUAUAGCACUUUGUUUAAAAAAAUGUGAUGAUUGUAUACUUUGUAUACAAGUGAAUAAAAUGUUAACACAUUGUGCUGCAAACCCUAUAAGUAUUAUAGGGUUAAGUGUUAUAUUAAUGUAUGUUUUAUGAAUUACUGUACAAGCCAUUGAGUUAAUGGGUAAAGCAGCAUGCACUUUAGUUGUCUUUGGCAAUAAUAGAUAAGCUCCCAUCUCCUGUAAAGUAGCAUCGACUUCAGUGAAAAACAAAUGUUCUUGUCGCACAUCUUGAUGUCCAGAAACAAUCAUACAGUGUCAUGUGAGAUAAGCCUUUCUCUGUCAGUUUGACAGUGUUUCUUCAAAGCUGAACCAUGUAGAGCAGUUUGUACAUCAUUAUGCAGAGGCAUUGAAAAUAAGACUAUAUUUUAUUCUCAGAAAAGACAACAACUAUAAGAUUAACACAAUAAAAGGUUUAAAUGGCUGUGUUCUGAGGGAGGAAUGUGGGUUUGGGUUAGUUAAGCCGAGAGAUAAAAAGUAACUAAGUACAUUUAGUAUACUAGUUUUUAAAUACUUUACUUUAUGUGAAUAAUUCCAUUUUGUGAGAACUUUUACUUUCCAGAAGGAAAUAUUGCCCUUCUUACUCCACUACAUUAACAAUGACAGCUGUAGUAACUAGUUACUUUAAAGACUAAUGUUGUUACAUGCAAAAUAUAAAUAAGAUGCACUGCUAGAGUUUAAACUAGCCAGUGUGGUGAUAGAAAUGUGUAGGUUUCAAAGAUAAUUUUAUUUUAUUAUGCACUCAGUGAUGCAAAUCUUUUUCUCUGUACAUUAAAUCUUUCUCUGUGCUCGAUUUGUAGUGAUUGCUUUGUCAUGGCUUGAUUGGUAAUGCCUUGGACCUCCAUAAGGGGGAACAAACCUUCCUCAUUUGUUGUAUUUUAAGUAAAGACAAGUGACGAGUCUGUGUUUUCUUUCACAUUAUUUUCCUCUUGUUGAACAUUUUCAACAUUUUUGGAAAUACCCCUAUUCACAUUAUUUCUUACCUGAGAAUAUUUAUCAGUUUCAUGUCUGUGCCUUAAAGAAAUAGUUCAAACUUUUGUAGAAAUUGUAUUAGUUUAUUUGCUUUCUUUCAGAGAGUUACAUGAGAAGAUGGAUAUCAAUCUCAUGUCUGUGUGUUAAGUACAGUGCUGGAGUCAGGACGUGGUUAGCCUAGCUUAGCAUAAAGACUGGAAGCAGGGGGAAACAGCUAGCCUAGCUCAGUCCAAAGUAAAAAAAUACACCUACUUACACCUCUAAAGCUCACUAAUUUACACAUAUUGAGCUUGUUUACCGAAAUGUAAAAAUGACAAUUUGUGGUUUUAGGGGUUAAGUUAUGUGCUGGAACUAUUUCUUGAUGAAGAACAGUUUAUUGAUAAGCCCUGUUGACUAUUUCUGUGCAGCGUCUCUGGCUAUAGCGUGGGCUGCCAAAUAUGGUCGGUGUGUACAGGUUUUGCUCUGUACAGGUAUGAUGGUACCAAACCUGGCACCUUCACUGUGAUGACAAGACUUUAGGAAGCGGCACACAGUUACUGCACCAGGCUCAGCAAGAAAUAGUUCCAGCACAUAACUUUUACAUAACACAAAAUUUUUUUAUGUUUCUGUUUAUGUAUGAAUUAAACAAACAAGAUAUAUGUUAAUUUAUGAGUUUUAGAACUGUUGGUAGUGUAUUUUUGAAUUUUGGAAAGGGCCAGGCUAGUUGUUUCCACCUGCGGCCAGUCUUUAUGCUAAACUAGGCUAACCACAUCCUGGCUCGAGCUGUACUUAACACACAGACAUGAGAUUGAUAUCAAUCUGAACAUCUCACUCACGGAAAGAGGGUGAAUAAUGGUAUUUUCCGAAAUGUUGAACUAUUCUUUUAAGUAAAGGGUCUGGAGUUAGGACAUGUUUAGCCUAGCUUAGCAUAAAGACUGGGGGUAGGGAGAAACAGUUAGCCUAGUUAAACAUAGGUGUGUCUCUCAAAAAUGAACUAUUCCUUGAAGGGUUUAACACCAGCAGUAUGUGGAGAAAUUAGAUAUUUACAGUAGCCUAUAUCACAUCAGUCCUAAUGCAAAAGAAAUAUAACAAUGUGAAAACAUCCAUGAGUACUUGUACUUCUGAUAUUUUACUACAUUUGACGUUGAAUACUUAUAUACUGUUACUUACAUAAACUUCUGAAUGCAGUAUUAUUCCAUUGUGGUACUGAUAGCUUUACUUUAAUAAAGGAUUUAAGUCCUUUUCCCACUUUUGUUUAAGUCUUUCUGUGGCUACCUAUAAUAGUUUUAUAGUUUUUAUUAUUAUAGUUUGAUAUCAAAGUAUUUUUGUAGCACAACACUUGGGAUUGUUGUUGUAUAGUGGAAUUAGUAUUUAUAUAAAAUUUUCUCAAUAGCGUAUCAAUAAAUUUGGAGUUAAAUAUAUUCACACGAUUUAUCAGAGUAGCAAACCUUUUCUCACCAAUAUAUUUUUUUCAUAAAAAUGAACUGUAACUCUACGCAUGUAGUGUAUAUACAGUAUACAUGUGUAAACUGGUGAGACUAAUGAUAGGAGGAAAUUAGUCUCAAUAAAAAUGACAUGCAUUUGACAUCCAUUGAUUCAUGUUGGGCGGUAAUUGGAAGGAAAUGGAAUUGUAAUUGGUGGAAGACACAUUUGUGAACACCACAAAGUAUGAUACAUAUUUUUAAAUCUUUUUGGGUAUGCUAGUGGCUCACUAGAUGGCAAUAUCAGUCUGAUGGUCGGUCGGACCACCACUUUGGUCCAGACAGAAAUAUCUCAACAACUGUUGAGUAGAUUGCCAUCAAAUUUUGGAUUCCCAGACAAUGUAUCCAAAUGACUUUGGUGAUCCCUGACUUUUCUUUUUGCAACACUAUGAGGUUGACAUUUGUGGUUUUGAAAUGUCUAGACAACUACUGAAUAGAUUGCCAUGAAAUUUAGUGCAGACAUUCAUGUUCCCCUCAGGAUGAAUUGUAAUAAGUUUUGUGAUCCCCUGACUUUUCAUGUAGCUCCAACAUCAGGUCUAAAUUUUACCUGCAAAACUAAUGACAUUACCAAUUUAGUGCUAAUGAGCAAAUUUUAGCAUUUUAACAUGCUAAAGAUGGUGAACAUGCUAAACAUUAUACCUGCUAAACAUCAGCAUAUUAGCAUUGUUAUUGCAUGCAGACAUUAGCAUUUAUCUCAAAGCACUGUUGUGCCCAAGUACAGCCUCAAAAAAGCUGCUAGCAGGGCUGUAGAUUCUUAGUCUUGUUUUUAUUUAUUUUAUUUGUUAUUUCUUCACACAUUUGUUAUUUCUUCACACUUUCAUAUUUUGUUACUAGAAAGACAUGCAAGUUGUAACCAAUGGAGGGCAGCAAUACAGACUGCACCAAAAAUGGAAGAGGGAGAAGGAUGGUGUUAACACAGUUAGAGUUUAGAAAUAAUUGCUUACACCUACUAAAUGUUUUAUGUGCACAUUACAUGUUUUCCUAAAUUUCCACCCCAAAACAAAAACAAAGCAAUAUUCCAAAACCUUGAAAUAAAAAAAUUACAGGUACAACUGAUCAUGUUUGAUGUUACAGGACAUGUUUCCUUUGAAAGAUGCAGAGACAUUAAAAAUCUAAUUAACUGUGGAAAUGAGAAGUGAAAGCAUACUGUGCUGAUCAGAGAAGGUAAAUGCUGCAGAAGAUUUCCUGUUUGUUCUUGUGGCUGACACAUUUUUCCUCGACUGGUGGACAGAAUAUUUCCAACGCACAUGUUUGAUCUGCGUUGCAGCAUCAUCCCUUAGAAAACAAGAUUUUUUCACUCAAUAUUUUUCAGCCCUUUCAGCCAGCAUGGUGCACCUUAAUGAUGUUCCUCCAAACUCUAAAAAUCAUGUCAAAUGCUGCGAGUGCAUUCCUGCUCAUAGCCUGCUUCUUCAUUCUGCAGUACUUAUUCGAUAUGGAUUGUUUUUGCUCAUGCAGACCAGGUGUCCAUCGAAAUGAUGUAGUGUUCUUAGCUGCACCUCCUUUGAUCCUCACCUAGCUUUUCACCUUAAUUGAGUCUUACUAUCAAAAGUUGAUAUUUCACUGCAGCUGUAAUUAUUGUUGCAACUAUUUCUGCAGCUUUAUUGUGAAGUUUUCGAUCAAAUAUUGGUAUCUGAGCGCUGUUUGGGCAUCCACUCUUCUGUUUGAUGGAGAUUGGUACUUCUGCUUGAUGACAAACCUCAACACCUCCCAGAAUGGAAUACUUUGCAAGGAAAAGCUGACCUACGAGGAGACACUCAUCCAAACCGAUUAUAAGAAUGCAUCACUUGUAAGUGACAACACACAGCAAUCAAAUAAGCUAAAUGUUCAGAAUUGUGAUUGUAAAAUAGGUUGCUACAGAAACUAUACCACCAUAUCACUAUACAUUUUCAUUAUUAUUAUUAUUAUUAUUAUUAUUAUUAUUAUUAUUAUUAUUAUUAAUGCAUUAGUAAUUACAUUUUAAAAAAUAUGUAUCACAAUUAUUCACACUGUAUACGGAGAAUUCUAUUAGUACUAUAAAUGUUGUCAGCAAUGCAGGUAAAAACUCUUAAUACCAUUUUGGGGGAUUAAAACUGAGUUAAAAGGCCUCUUUUGGUUAAGAAUGUAACUGGUUCUGCAAAGCUCUCUUUUUUGCAGCUAAGAAAAAAUAUAUGAGAUGUCAAGAAUGAAGAAAAAUUUCGAGAAAAAAGUCGUAAGGUUAGGUGAAAACAAUUGUCAUUUUGAGAAAAAAAUUCUUAAUAUGAAAAUUUUAUCAAAUAAAGUCAAAAUAUGGAUAAAUUCAUGAUGUUGAGAAAACAGUCAUAAUAUUACAAGAUAAAGUCAAGUAUUAACAAGAAAGGGUUAUAACAUUACAAGAAAAAGUAGUAAUUUAAAGAAAAAGUCAAUAUCACAAAUAAAGUUAUUUUUUAUAUGAACAUUUUUUGCUAUAAGAAGAACAUCAUAGUAGAAUAUCAUAAGUCAUAAUUUGAAGAAAAAAGUUAAAGUCAUAAUUUUUCAUGAGAAAGCAUAAAACAACAACAAAAAGUCUUAUUUGGCAAAAGACUUGUGUUUGGAUUGCAAUAUUUUUGUAUUUUACAUACUAGGUCAUUUAACACCCUUACAAAAAAAUUAAAAAUAAAACCAGUAAAAUCUAAUUAUUUCAAUUAGAGGGAGAAAUCUGUAACAAAAUCAUUUUAGUUGUACAAUGUUAUUAUUGUGACUUUUAAAACAUCAAGCGAAUGGAAUUCAAACAUAAUAAACUUUUUUGAGCUUUCUUCAGUCAGUGCAGUGUAUUUUAUAAUUGUAAAAUAUAAUUAUUCUAAAAAAUUUACAUUCAAAUAAUGUUUAAACUAUUUGGUAUCCUCAAAAAACAAGACUGGUUCUAUUAUUAGCAUUAUAAAAAUUAAGUAUAUCUCAAAGGGCCCAAUUCUACUGUUUUAUAAAUGCAUAUUGUGGCUUUAAAAGCACAGGUGAAAAGAAGACAAGUGACAUUUACUAAAACAAUGUACUUUAGAGGAUUUCCAUUUUGUGAGACGUUAUGCUUUUACACAACUAAAUCUAACAGUGAAUCAGUAUCCUUUUAGUUCUUUACUUUCAUUUGAUGGCUGUUAAUAUUCCACAUGCAAACCAUGAUAUAACUCAAUGUUACUGUUAACCUUUUACAUAAGUCAGUCUAUGUCACCACAAAUCCAACCACAGACACACAACACAAUAAACAUCUUAGGACAGCUCAAUUGUCAUCCACUCAUCUAUUUAAGUAAGUAAAAAUAAAAGAUCCUGAGCAAUUCACGAAAGCUUCCUGUCGACCCCUCUUCUGUGACUCCUGCCUGUGACACCUGCUUGAUGAGUGUGUUUUUGUUAUUUUCAGCCUUUUAGUGUGGAUGUAGUGUGCUAGGUGCAUUUUGGUUUUGUCUUGUCUGUCUGCUCGUUCUCUCUCUGUUUCUGUGUUUGGUGGUGGCUCCCUCCUGCUGCUCUCCUGGUCCCGGCUCGGCUCUUGCUACACACCUGCCAGUCAUCAAGUAAUCAGCACCCCUGGCUUUCAUCAAGUCAUCGCCGCCUUACUAAAAUGACCCAGCACCAACAUCCAGUCCCUGCCAGAUCAUCGUGUCAUACUCGGAUUCCCUGCCAACCUGCCCGUGUUGUCAGCCACCUAAGCCCACCGGCAAACUCACUUCAUUGGAUUUACACUGUUACACCAACUCCUUGGAUUUCCCCUCAUCUCAGCCCCAACUCCUGCCAUUCUCCAUACCUGCCAGUUUUACAAUAAAUUACUUGUUUUUCUUACCAUACCUGCUUGUCUGGAGUCUGCAUUUGGGUUCAGCCUAGAUCCAUGACACUUGCUAGCAACAUAAUCUUGGUGUCACCACCUAAUACUACCAGGACUGUGGUUUUUGCUGUAAUCUGUGGAUUUUUUUGGCUUUGGAACUUUUUUUGAAUGUCUUAAAGCCUUUAUUAUCAGAUGGAAGAUGUAGGAAAGGAACUCUGUGUCCCAUGUGUAUGAAGACCUUCAUGAAAAGAGGAGCUAAGAAAAAUAACAAGAGUAAAAAGUGCUACAGCUAUUCGAAACCAGGAGCUGCCAGAACAAACCAAAAACCAGGAUGGAAUUAAUGUCACCAAUGGUGAUAACAAUGCAGAUGUCAGUUCCAAUGGUAAUCCCAAUAAAAAUUGCGAUGGAAACCCCAAUGGCAAUGCCAAUGAAAAUCCUAAUGGCAAUGCCAGUGAAAAUCCCAAUGGCAAUCUGUUUUGGUCCCUGCUUUGUCAGUAUCUCGGGUAAGCACUAGAGGAUGCCAUUGCACACUCGCAAGCACUCAGGUGGCGCAAUACACAGUCUUGCCAAUGGUUUCACACAAUCCACUGAUCGUCAGUUGGUGGCAGUAAUGUGUCAAGAAAUGUAGCAAUGCACAAACAAUGCCGGUGAAGAAUAAGACUGCUGGCUAGCACACAUGAAUAUAUGCAGCUUAGUAGGUCAACAAACAGGACAACUAUGACUUAUUAUAUAAUCUUUGACAUAAACACAGUUGUGUGCAAAACAAAGAAAAAUUAAAACAUUGUUAUUCAGGGCUGGUGCAGUGAAAACUAGUGUAUUAUUUUGAUGUGUGUGUGUGUGUGUGUAUUUAAGAAUCAUGGAAAUUAUAACUACUGCAACUAAUUGUGCUAUAUUGUUAUUGCACCUGAAUAUGUCUGAAUAUGUUUUAAUAUUUAAUCACAAAUAUCACAGAAAAUACCAGGUAGAAUAAUGCAUAUGGUGUAUAGUAUAUCAUUGUGCCAAGUACAGUUUACAGUGUCGAGGGGAAGGAGCAAAUUACUGCCAGGGUUGUAAAAUUUGACCUCAAAGGAGUAUAAAAUGAUAAACAGUGAAUGAUUAGGCAUUUCAGUGUGGUUGAAGAUCUUUACCAGAAUGGAUGGAUGGAAGUGGAUAUAGUUAACAAGCUUGCCAAAAGGUAUUGUAAAGACCAAGCUUAGAGAAACUGAAAUUGCACACCAAAAGGCAGGCAACACUGUCAUGCUGAAGCUGUGAUUUUAGAUGCAAAUCACAUUUCUUUGCAUUUCUCAUUGUAGCUCUUUGUUAUAUUUUGGAAUGAUAGUAAUUUUGGGUUGCAGUUUUUGUUGGAUAGUUUGCGACUAGGGCUGGGUAUUGGUAUUACUACCAAAAUAACCAGGUACCAAGUAGUAUCGAAAUGUCUCCAGUCAAACGAUACUGCUUGUGAUCCUUUUUGUACCCAGAUCUAGAAAAAAAUGACUAUUUGUACGUUUUUUUUUUGCAGCCAAUCACCGCAAGCAUUCUUCGUUUUAAUAUGACAUGUGAUUGGCCCACUACCGCAAAUAUUUGACUGAAAUAACUACCAUCCACUGAAAAUUUAAAAUGCCUAAAUGAAAACCAAUCAAACACAGAAAUAAAGUGAAAUACAAACACA